GACAGAGGUGCCGAGCGUUAGGCGGAAUCACUGGGCUUAAAGCGCGUGUAGGCGGGAGGGCACGUCCGUCGCUGAAAUCCCCCGGCUCAACCGGGGAACGGGCGCGGAUACGACCUUCCUGGAGGGGCGUAGGGGGACCUGGAACUUCCGGUGGAGCGGUGAAAUGCGUUGAGAUCGGAAGGAACGCCCGUGGCGAAAGCGAGGUCCUGGACGCCUACUGACGCUGAGACGCGAAAGCCAGGGGAGCGAACGGG
rnacentral:rRNA from 1 species